CUGGCUCAGGACGAACGCUGGCGGCGUGCCUAAUACAUGCAAGUCGAACGAACUCUGGUAUUGAUUGGUGCUUGCAUCAUGAUUUACAUUUGAGUGAGUGGCGAACUGGUGAGUAACACGUGGGAAACCUGCCCAGAAGCGGGGGAUAACACCUGGAAACAGAUGCUAAUACCGCAUAACAACUUGGACCGCAUGGUCCGAGUUUGAAAGAUGGCUUCGGCUAUCACUUUUGGAUGGUCCCGCGGCGUAUUAGCUAGAUGGUGGGGUAACGGCUCACCAUGGCAAUGAUACGUAGCCGACCUGAGAGGGUAAUCGGCCACAUUGGGACUGAGACACGGCCCAAACUCCUACGGGAGGCAGCAGUAGGGAAUCUUCCACAAUGGACGAAAGUCUGAUGGAGCAACGCCGCGUGAGUGAAGAAGGGUUUCGGCUCGUAAAACUCUGUUGUUAAAGAAGAACAUAUCUGAGAGUAACUGUUCAGGUAUUGACGGUAUUUAACCAGAAAGCCACGGCUAACUACGUGCCAGCAGCCGCGGUAAUACGUAGGUGGCAAGCGUUGUCCGGAUUUAUUGGGCGUAAAGCGAGCGCAGGCGGUUUUUUAAGUCUGAUGUGAAAGCCUUCGGCUCAACCGAAGAAGUGCAUCGGAAACUGGGAAACUUGAGUGCAGAAGAGGACAGUGGAACUCCAUGUGUAGCGGUGAAAUGCGUAGAUAUAUGGAAGAACACCAGUGGCGAAGGCGGCUGUCUGGUCUGUAACUGACGCUGAGGCUCGAAAGUAUGGGUAGCAAACAGGAUUAGAUACCCUGGUAGUCCAUACCGUAAACGAUGAAUGCUAAGUGUUGGAGGGUUUCCGCCCUUCAGUGCUGCAGCUAACGCAUUAAGCAUUCCGCCUGGGGAGUACGGCCGCAAGGCUGAAACUCAAAGGAAUUGACGGGGGCCCGCACAAGCGGUGGAGCAUGUGGUUUAAUUCGAAGCUACGCGAAGAACCUUACCAGGUCUUGACAUACUAUGCAAAUCUAAGAGAUUAGACGUUCCCUUCGGGGACAUGGAUACAGGUGGUGCAUGGUUGUCGUCAGCUCGUGUCGUGAGAUGUUGGGUUAAGUCCCGCAACGAGCGCAACCCUUAUUAUCAGUUGCCAGCAUUAAGUUGGGCACUCUGGUGAGACUGCCGGUGACAAACCGGAGGAAGGUGGGGAUGACGUCAAAUCAUCAUGCCCCUUAUGACCUGGGCUACACACGUGCUACAAUGGAUGGUACAACGAGUUGCGAACUCGCGAGAGUAAGCUAAUCUCUUAAAGCCAUUCUCAGUUCGGAUUGUAGGCUGCAACUCGCCUACAUGAAGUCGGAAUCGCUAGUAAUCGCGGAUCAGCAUGCCGCGGUGAAUACGUUCCCGGGCCUUGUACACACCGCCCGUCACACCAUGAGAGUUUGUAACACCCAAAGUCGGUGGGGUAACCUUUUAGGAACCAGCCGCCUAAGGUGGGACAGAUGAUUAGGGUGAAGUCGUAACAA
rnacentral:rRNA from 1 species